rnacentral:rRNA from 1 species
GACGAAGGGGGCUAGCGUUGUUCGGAAUUACUGGGCGUAAAGCGCGUGUAGGCGGUUGCCCAAGUCGGGUGUGAAAGCCUUGAGCUCAACUCAAGAAAUGCACUCGGGACUGGGUGACUAGAGGACCGGAGAGGAUAGUGGAAUUCCCAGUGUAGUGGUGAAAUACGUAGAGAUUGGGAAGAACACCAGUGGCGAAGGCGGCUAUCUGGACGGUUUCUGACGCUAAGACGCGAAAGCGUGGGGAGCAAACAGG